CCCGAUCACCCUUCUUCGAUUUUCCUUUGAUUUCUCCUUUAUUGAUUGCUUUCUUGGUGGAAUUCUUGCUAGGUUGCUUCUGAUUCGUGUGGUUUUUGGUUGUUCUGAUUGAUUUGUGUUUGAUUACAGGGGUUGGUUAAUGGCAGGGUUUUCUGUUUCGUGUUUGCUGGUAAUUAUGGUUAGAUUUGGUUGUUGUGUCUGCUCUCUGGCAUCGUUGGAUGAUGAUCCAUGUCGAGAUGUUUUGUUUCGAUUGAUUCGUGUGAUGUUCUUUCAUAAAGGAAAAAAAAUAGCAAGUGGCUUUUUUUUAAAAAAAAAAUAAUGAUCUAUCGUGUUAAUGUGUUUUAGGUUGUUCUUAUGUUACAUGGUGUAUCGGAAAAUCUUUAUGAUUGGAAGGGCAGUUGGAGGUGUAAUUUAUGCUCAUCGCUUUAUCGCUUUCUUCUCUGUUGAUGAGGUAACACAGCAACAGCGGUGAGAGUUAAUUGCAAGGAGUUGGAAGAUCUAGAGAGUUGGAAAAAAAAAAAAUGAAGCUCGGAUGGACUUCGGUUUAUGAUUUUUUUUUACUGCAUCCUUUUUUUGGGAAUGCUAAAAAUUUUCAUUUCUGUAAAUAAUACUUCAAUUUAUCUGCUCACCUCAGUGGUAAGUUUGCUAAUUCAGUGUGCGGAUGUUCACUAUGUGGUCAUGAAGAUUGAGCACUGAACUAUCAAGAUUGUGGGUAGCUUAUGGUUCCCACCUAACAGUUUCUCCACUUCAUAUUUAAACUACAACAAGAAGCCCAGAUUUUUGCUGUGCAGAAAUCUAUGUUGGCCUUGAUUGAGAUUCCUGCUCAGGUUUUUUCCUCCUUUAUCAUUUUUAAUCGUUGAUGUUCCUAUCCUUCUGGCUGGUCUUGUGCAUUUAAUAUUAGAACUCUAUACGAAUAUUGCCUUGGAUAGAGAUUAGCGUCUUAUUCAUAGUGUUGAUGCUAGGUUGAGAUCGUCUUAAAAUUUGUACUAUAAGAUUUUUGUGUAUCCAUAUUGCCAGUCACGUUGAGUUUUGUACAUUGUCAGAAGGUUUGCAAGGUAAGGCGUAAGCCUGUCCUUCAGACGACAAGCAUGAUACAGUUCCUGUUGGGGAGGUCACCUGCAAUUCUGAAAUAACUUUCUCAAAGGAAUAAUAUUAUGGCCGAAAGCUUUCUAUUUCUGAUGGCUGAUAGAUUGCAGUCCUGCAUUUGCAUUUUUUUACUCCUGCCAAUCAAGCAACUUCUCUGUUCUGGGUGAAGAGGUUGUUGGUUUCAUUUAUAAACUAGCUGGCGCAAUGCUGGAAAUUUGUUCUUUGAUGUACUAAGCUGAAGGUUCCGCAUUUUCUGAAAGAUAUCAGCACACCUAGUUCUUAAAUUUUCUAUGGGAUUUUUUAUUGAAUCAAUGUGCAAACACAUGAAAUCAGGAUUUGGAUGAUCUUCCUGUUAUGACAGUUCACAGUCAUUUUGCUUGGGGCUUUUUAGAAUGUCUUAAAAAUUUCAUAAGACUUAAUAUUAAUACACAUUUCUUUUGACACAGAGAGUUUGUUAUAUCUUUGUAUUAUUGCGUACGCUAUGUUCAUUAUAUUUAAUACUUAUGGUGGGUUAUUUUCCUGGAUAAUGACGUCAUCUUAGAAUGCAGGGCUGUGUAAUACUCUGCUAUGCCAUUCAAACCCUGAAGAUUUAUCUCCAUGAGAAGCAUUAUAGUUUGGUUGGAUGAAGUAUGGCUAGUUUUUUCCCUGCAAGAUGAGUUCAGUUGUGGAUUACAGUGCUGUGUUUCCUGUUAAUCUAAUAUUCUCUUAUGCUUUCACACCAGAUCGUGUAUGUGUAUGUUCUGUAUAUAGUGGUUAAUUAGGCUUUUUCUUCUUCAUGGGUAUCACUAAUCUUUCUUGCAUAGUUUUUUAUCUUGUCUUCUUCCUACCAGUAGAUAGUUUAUGAUGGACAUUUAAGGGAGUAUAUGUUAGUUUAAAAGAAGAUGAUAGUUGCAUUCUAUUUUCUCUAUAAAACACUAACAUGAUAAAAUAAAAAUAAAAAAACCACAUUAUGACCAUCAAGGAGGGGAAUAUAACAUGGCCAUCACCGAAAAGAAUAUGUUGUUAUAUUUUCUUGUCCGUAUGCAAUGGCUCAUAUCACAUGAUAUGCCCAAUACUGAGCAAUUUUCUGUUGAAAAAGAGGGGUUAUCAUGCUGCCCCUCAUAUUUAUUCUUUUGGUACCUGGAUAUUAACUGGAGAUAGUGCCAGCAGGAUGCCUUUAUAAUUGUUUGAUGGUUAAAAAUUGAUCAAAUUCAACAUCAUCAUUUUAUUUGAUAGAGGUACUGUUUGCCUGGUAGUGCUGCCGGCUGUGUGUGAUAUUGAAUCUUAUCAUUGGGUGUCAAGGAUAGGUGAUUGAGAUCUUGAAGGUUGUCAAUUAAAGCUUGGCUGUCUAGAGGUCUCCUUUUCCAAACAUCUCGAUUGGUUUUUCUGUUAUUGUGGCAUGGUAAGAAUGAUUGCUUCAGGAAGUGCUACCAUAAAAUGAUUGUCUCUGGUCUAUGACUAUUGCUCCAAAUAAC